GAUAAUGAUGAUUGACUUCAAUGCUGAGUAGUGAAGAAGUAACCCGAAACUGAAA
rnacentral:snoRNA from 1 species